UGUUGGUUCUCCCGCAACGCUACUCUGUUCACCAGGUCAGGUCCGGAAGGAAGCAGCCAGGGCAGACGACGUGUGUGC
rnacentral:SRP_RNA from 1 species